rnacentral:rRNA from 1 species
AAUAGAUACCCGGGUAGUCCAUGCCGUAAACGUUGGGUGCUAGACGUGGGGGCCUUUCCACGGUUCCCGUGUCGUAGCUAACGCAUUAAGCACCCCGCCUGGGGAGUACGGCCGCAAGGCUAAAACUCAAAGGAAUUGACGGGGGCCCGCACAAGCGGCGGAGCAUGCGGAUUAAUUCGAUGCAACGCGAAGAACCUUACCAAGGCUUGACAUAUAGAGGAAACGGCCAGAGAUGGUCGCCCCGCAAGGUCUCUAUACAGGUGGUGCAUGGUUGUCGUCAGCUCGUGUCGUGAGAUGUUGGGUUAAGUCCCGCAACGAGCGCAACCCUUGUCCUAUGUUGCCAGCGGUUCGGCCGGGAACUCAUGGGAGACUGCCGUGGUCAACACGGAGGAAGGUGGGGAUGACGUCAAAUCGAUCAUGCCCCUUAUGUCUUGGGCUUCACGCAUGCUACAAUGGCCGGUACAGAGGGCUGCGAUACCGCGAGGUGGAGCGAAUCCCUUAAAGCCGGUCUCAGUUCGGAUUGGGGUCUGCAACUCGACCC